rnacentral:rRNA from 1 species
AUUGAACGCUGGCGGCAGGCCUAACACAUGCAAGUCGAGCGAGCGGCGGACGGGUGAGUAAUGUAUGGGGACUGCCCGAUAGAGGGGGAUCACUACUGGAAACGGUGGCUAAUACCGCAUACUAUCGGAUAACCCAUAUGGGAUUAGCUAGUAGGUGGGGUAAAGGCUCACUUAGGCGACGAUCUCUCGCUGGUCUGAGAGGAUGAUCAGCAAAACUGGGACUGAGACACGCCCCAGACUCCUACGGGGGCAGCAGUGGGAAAAAUUCCACAUGGGGGGCAAGCCGGAUGAGGCCAUGCCGGGUGUAUGAAGAGGCCUUAGGGUUGUAAAGUACUUUCAGCGGGGAGGCGGUACCCGCAGAAGAAGCACCGGCUAACUCCGUGCCAGCAGCCGCGGUAAUUC